UACGUAGGGUGCGAGCGUUGUCCGGAAUUAUUGGGCGUAAAGCGCGUGUAGGCGGCUUUGCAAGUCGGGUGUGAAAUCCCUCAGCUCAACUGAGGAAGUGCGCCCGAAACUGCAGAGCUUGAGUACCGGAGAGGAUGGCGGAAUUCCCCAAGUAGAGGUGAAAUUCGUAGAUAUGGGGAGGAACACCGGUGGCGAAGGCGGCCAUCUGGACGGAUACUGACGCUGAGACGCGAAAGCGUGGGUAGCAAACAGG
rnacentral:rRNA from 1 species